UUUUGUCAUUGUGUGGAUGAGAGAGGUGUUGUGCUGUGGUUGCCCUCUUGUCAUCCUUGCAAAUACGGAUGUCUGCACUGUGCUUCUGCUGUGCUACUUCAACGUGAGGAUAAACGUACUCACACUACCAUCUCCGGCGAGUCUUGGAAGGCGUACAGCAGGACGAAGAUGCAGCCACAUACCACCGCCACCCACGUCCGCCUCCGCACCGAGCACAGCCACUCACACGCACCCCCACGCCUCCCGCGCCCUCCCGCCAUGCUGAGGAAGACGCUCAACGAUAAUAUACAGCAGUAGAGCUGGCGGAAAGGAAAGUAACAGAUGGGCGGCAAGGCACGAUGGAGAAAGCUGCAGCGUG